rnacentral:rRNA from 1 species
AUUGAACGCUGGCGGCAGGCCUAACACAUGCAAGUCGAGCGGAUGAAGGGAGCUUGCUCCUGGAUUCAGCGGCGGACGGGUGAGUAAUGCCUAGGAAUCUGCCUGGUAGUGGGUGAUAACGUCCGGAAACGGGCGCUAAUACCGCAUACGUCCUGAGGGAGAAAGUGGGGGAUCUUCGGACCUCACGCUAUCAGAUGAGCCUAGGUCGGAUUAGCUAGUUGGUGGGGUAAAGGCCUACCAAGUCGACGAUCCGUAACUGGUCUGAGAGGAUGAUCAGUCACACUGGAGCUGAGACACGGUCCAGACUCCUACGGGAGGCAGCAGUGGGGAAUAUUGGACAGUGGGCGAAAGCCUGAUCCAGCCAUGCCGCGUGUGUGAAGAAGGUCUUCGGAUUGUAAAGCACUUUAAGGUGGGAGGAAGGGCAGUAAGUUAAUACCUUGCUGUUUUGACGUUACCAACAGAAUAAGCACCGGCUAACUUCGUG